AUGAAUUCAUCCAAAAGAUUUCAAAAAACAAAAAAUAACAUAUCCUCAAGAAACGGACGAAUGAGCUACGACUGACCUUUAUACUACCGAUUCGACAUUGAACGGAACCUCACCCCGGCAGAUGAGACUCGAACAGUAAUACCUCUAUCGAACUCAACUGUUAGACAACCAAAGUUACGAGAUUCAAAGAAUGGUCCUUUGGUUUUGCCGUAGCAGUGGGCUAUUUGGUCGAAGACGAUGGGUGGUCGACGACGAAGGUCGUCAUUUCAGAAGUUAAUGGCGUGACAGUGGACUGGUCGACGGACUGGACUGGUUCUAGUCUGGUUCGAGUGGUGGUUUGACGUAGGAAGCUGUUGUUGGGCGGUCAGCGAGGGGGAGGGAUCGUUUGGUUGUUAACCAUGGUAGAAAGGGUGGACUGUUGAGGGACGUUUGGAUGGAGGUGAACGCAGCAGCAGCUGCGCGUCCAUGGCGGACGCGAUCUGGUUCGUUUUGGUUGAAGAUGUGGGGUGGUUGGCGAACU
rnacentral:lncRNA from 1 species